AUUGAACGCUGGCGGCAGGCCUAACACAUGCAAGUCGAGCGGAUGAAGGGAGCUUGCUCCUGGAUUCAGCGGCGGACGGGUGAGUAAUGCCUAGGAAUCUGCCUGGUAGUGGGGGAUAACGUCCGGAAACGGGCGCUAAUACCGCAUACGUCCUGAGGGAGAAAGUGGGGGAUCUUCGGACCUCACGCUAUCAGAUGAGCCUAGGUCGGAUUAGCUAGUUGGUGGGGUAAAGGCCUACCAAGGCGACGAUCCGUAACUGGUCUGAGAGGAUGAUCAGUCACACUGGAACUGAGAAACGGUCCAGACUCCUAAGGGAGGCAGCAGUGGGGAAUAUUGGACAAUGGGCGAAAGCCUGAUCCAGCCAUGCCGCGUGUGUGAAGAAGGUCUUCGGAUUGUAAAGCACUUUAAGUUGGGAGGAAGGGCAGUAAGUUAAUACCUUGCUGUUUUGACGUUACCAACAGAAUAAGCACCGGCUAAAUUCGUG
rnacentral:rRNA from 1 species